rnacentral:rRNA from 1 species
UAGGGAAUCUUCGGCAAUGGGGGGAACCCUGACCGAGCAACGCCGCGUGAGUGAAGAAGGUUUUCGGAUCGUAAAGCUCUGUUGUUAAGGAAGAACGAGUGUGAGAAUGGAAAGUUCAUACUGUGACGGUACUUAACCAGAAAGGGACGGCUAACUACGUGCCAGCAGCCGCGGUAAUACGUAGGUCCCGAGCGUUGUCCGGAUUUAUUGGGCGUAAAGCGAGCGCAGGCGGUUAGAUAAGUCUGAAGUUAAAGGCAGUGGCUCAACCAUUGUAGGCUUUGGAAACUGUUUAACUUGAGUGCAGAAGGGGGGAGUGGAAUUCCAUGUGUAGCGGUGAAAUGCGUAGAUAUAUGGAGGAACACCGGUGGCGAAAGCGGCUCUCUGGUCUGUAACUGACGCUGAGGCUCGAAAGCGUGGGGAGCGAACAGGAUUAGAUACCCUGGUAGUCCACGCCGUAAACGAUGAGUGCUAGGUGUUAGGUCCUUUCCGGGACUUAGUGCCGCAGCUAACGCAUUAAGCACUCCGCCUGGGGAGUACGACCGCAAGGUUG